rnacentral:rRNA from 1 species
GGUGAACGCUGGCGGCGUGCUUAACACAUGCAAGUCGAGCGGAAAGGCCACUUCGGUGGUACUCGAGCGGCGAACGGGUGAGUAACACGUGAGUAAUCUGCCCUUGGCUUUGGGAUAGCCACCGGAAACGGUGAUUAAUACCGGAUAUGACCACUCUAGGCAUCUAGUGGUGGUGGAAAGUUUUUCGGCCAGGGAUGUGCUCGCGGCCUAUCAGCUUGAUGGUGAGGUAAUGGCUCACCAUGGCUUCGACGGGUAGCCGGCCUGAGAGGGUGACCGGUCACACUGGGACUGAGACACGGCCCAGACUCCUACGGGAGGCAGCAGUGGGGAAUAUUGGACAAUGGGCAGAAGCCUGAUCCAGCAACGCCGCGUGAGGGAUGACGGCCUUCGGGUUGUAAACCUCUUUCAGCAGGGACGAAGCGCGAGUGACGGUACCUGCAGAAGAAGCACCGGCCAACUACGUGCCAGCCGCCGCCGUAA